GAUGAACGCUGGCGGCGUUCCUAAUACAUGCAAGUCGAGCGAACAGACGCGGAGCUUGCUCCUCUGACGUUAGCGGCGGACGGGUGAGUAACACGUGGAUAACCUCCCUAUAAGACUGGGAUAACUUCGUGAAACCGGUGCUAAUACCGGAUAAUAUAUUGAACCGCAUGGUUCAAUAGUGACAGACGGUUUUGCUGUCACUUAUAGAUGGAUCCGCGCGUCAUUAGCUAGUUGGUAAGGUAACUGCUUACCAAGGCGACGAUGCGUAGCCGACCUGAGAGGGUGAUCGGCAACACUGGAACUGAGACACGGUACAGACUCCUAGGAGAGGCAGCAGUAGGGAAUCGUACGCAAUGGGCGAAAGCCUGACGGAGCAACGACGCGUGAGUGAUGAAGGUCUUCGGAUCGUAAAACUCUGUUAUUAGGGAAGAACAAAUGUGUAAGUAACGAUGCACGUCUUGACGGUACCUAAUCAGAAAGACACGGCUAACUACGUG
rnacentral:rRNA from 1 species